GCCGACAGCAGAAACCACGCUCGCAAGUCUCUUAUCCCUCAAAGGAAAAACCAGUGUCCGAAGCUUCUUCCCAAAAUAUCUGCUCUCUCUCUCUCUCUAUUCCGGAGUCGGGAGCCUUUUUCCGACGUCGUAUUCAACAUGGCUUUAGGAUCUUGUUCAUUCAAUCCAACACGGCUAACCUCCCUUCCGUUCCCUUCAAAAAAUGCCCUUAAAACCGCCAAAAAUCCUCUCUACAUGAGCACGGCGUCGUUCAAGUUGCUCUGUGUUCGGGCUUCUGCCUGGAACUCCGCCUCGAAAGCCCGUUUCGUUGCGCGUCGGAAGGAGUCCGUUUCGGUUCGGCAGUUGAAACGCCCUCUAAUUGAGUAUAUGAGACUACCAGCGAGCCAAUACUCGGUGCUGGAUGCAGAGAGGAUAGAGAGGAUAGAUGAUAAUACGUUUAGGUGCUAUGUCUAUAGGUUCAAGUUUUUUAAUUUUGAGGUUUGCCCUGUUUUGCUUGUUAGGGUUGAAGAACAGCCUAAUGGCUGCUGUAUUAAGCUCUUGUCUUGUAAGCUGGAUGGGUCACCAAUUGUGGUUGCACAAAAUGAUAAGUUUGAUGCUUCUAUGGUGAAUCAAAUAACUUGUGAUACCAACCGAAGUGGCUCAUUAGUUCAAGAACUUACAUCAGAUGCAAUUAUUGAGGUUAGCAUUGAGGUUCCUUUUGCGUUUAGACCAAUUCCAUUGGGAAUGAUUGAAUCAACUGGGACACAAGUCCUUGAACAAAUACUUAGGCUAAUGCUGCCCCGCUUUAUGGCACAGGUUUCAUUUUUGGAAUGAGUUUUUCCUCUUAAACAAAUCAAGCAUUUACAUGAUUAGAUGAAUGGCAUCAACAAAUAGCUGCUGGUUGAAUGGUGUUCCAGACUAUUCUUUUUUUGUUUGGUUUUAGCCAUCCUUGCUGACUGCUGACUCCCAUUUGCAGCAAGUUAUUAUUGAAGUAGCAUACUACUUUACCGAUGGGGAGAAGAAUAAUGCAUGCUAGAGCAAGAGAAAGACAAAAACAGCGAAAAAUGGUGGCUGCAGCAGGGGAGAGGAGCAGGAGAAACAGCUAUCAUCCACAUAACUACUGGAUGAAUGUUUUAAGGAUUUCUAAUUCUUGUUAAAGACUAUCAAGCAUGGGCUUCUGGUGAUGCCUCAAGGCAACCUCUUGGAACUGGUGAGAUUUGAGAUUUAAGAGGGAAAAGAUUUACUUGCACUCUCUUCAAAAUCAUCUGCUUCUUCAAUUUUGCCAGCAUAUGUAAUUGUACGAUAGGCGCAUGUCAGAAUAUCUCUGCUCUAGGUGCACCGAUUUACUUGAAUUUGUUUUCAUUAGGGAGGGAAAAAUCAUAUAAGAUAUUCUUUGUAUUUAAUGUGAACGACAGAUUCUAAUUACAACUUCCUGUAGUCCCAGUUUCACUUCAAUCUAUUCCAAUGAUGAUUGGAAUUCUUAUGACUGCUAA